rnacentral:rRNA from 1 species
GAUGAACGCUAGCGACAGGCCUAACACAUGCAAGUCGAGGGGCAGCACAGUGUAGCAAUACACGGGUGGCGACCGGCGCACGGGUGCGUAACGCGUAUCCAACCUUCCCGUUACUCUUGGAUAGCCUUCCGAAAGGGAGAUUAAUACAAGAUGGUAUUCAAAUUCCGCAUGUUAUUUGAAUUAAAGAUUUAUCGGUAACGGAUGGGGAUGCGUGACAUUAGAUAGUAGGCGGGGUAACGGCCCACCUAGUCUACGAUCUUUAGGGGUUCUGAGAGGAAGGUCCCCCACACUGGUACUGAGACACGGCCCAAACUCCUACGGGAGGCAGCAGUGGGGAAUAUUGCACAAUGGGGGAAACCCUGAUGCAGCGACGCCGCGUGAGCGAUGAAGUAUUUCGGUAUGUAAAGCUCUAUCAGCAAGGAAGAUAAUGACGGUACUUGACUAAGAAGCCCCGGNUAACUACGUG